CUGGCUCAGGAUGAACGCUAGCGACAGGCUUAACACAUGCAAGUCGAGGGGCAGCGGGGGUGCAGGCUUGCCUGCACCUGCCGGCGACCGGCGCACGGGUGAGUAACACGUAUGGAACCUGCCCGCCACAGGGGGAUAACCCGGGGAAACCCGGCCUAAUACCCCAUGCCGCCCGGACCGGGCAUCCGGACCGGGCGAAAGGAGGAAUCCGGUGGCGGCUGGGCAUGCGGCGCAUUAGCUUGACGGCGGGGUAACGGCCCACCGUGGCGACGAUGCGUAGGGGUUCUGAGAGGAAGGCCCCCCACACUGGAACUGAGACACGGUCCAGACUCCUACGGGAGGCAGCAGUGAGGAAUAUUGGUCAAUGGGCGGAAGCCUGAACCAGCCAAGUCGCGUGAGGGAAUAAGGCCCUACGGGUCGUAAACCUCUUUUGCCGGGGAGCAAGGGCCGGGACGAGUCCCGGUCCGGAGAGUACCCGGAGAAAAAGCAUCGGCUAACUCCGUGCCAGCAGCCGCGGUAAUACGGAGGAUGCGAGCGUUAUCCGGAUUUAUUGGGUUUAAAGGGUGCGUAGGCGGGCUUUUAAGUCAGCGGUAAAAAUUCGGGGCUCAACCCCGUCCGGCCGUUGAAACUGGGGGCCUUGAGUGGGCGAGAAGAAGGCGGAAUGCGUGGUGUAGCGGUGAAAUGCAUAGAUAUCACGCAGAACCCCGAUUGCGAAGGCAGCCUUCCGGCGCCCUACUGACGCUGAGGCACGAAAGUGCGGGGAUCGAACAGGAUUAGAUACCCUGGUAGUCCGCACAGUAAACGAUGGAUGCCAGCUGUCCGGGCCGAAUGGGGCCUGGGUGGCAAAGCGAAAGCGUUAAGCAUCCCACCUGGGGAGUACGCCGGCAACGGUGAAACUCAAAGGAAUUGACGGGGGCCCGCACAAGCGGAGGAACAUGUGGUUUAAUUCGAUGAUACGCGAGGAACCUUACCCGGGCUCAAACGCGUCAGGGAUCCCCUCUGAAAGGAGGGGAGUCAGCAAUGACCUGGCGCGAGGUGCUGCAUGGUUGUCGUCAGCUCGUGCCGUGAGGUGUCGGCUUAAGUGCCAUAACGAGCGCAACCCCUACCGACAGUUGCUAACUGGUGAAGCAGAGGACUCUGUCGGGACUGCCGGCGCAAGCUGCGAGGAAGGCGGGGAUGACGUCAAAUCAGCACGGCCCUUACGUCCGGGGCGACACACGUGUUACAAUGGCAGGUACAGCGGGAAGCCACCGGGCGACCGGGCGCGGAACCCGAAAACCUGUCUCAGUUCGGAUCGGAGUCUGCAACCCGACUCCGUGAAGCUGGAUUCGCUAGUAAUCGCGCAUCAGCCACGGCGCGGUGAAUACGUUCCCGGGCCUUGUACACACCGCCCGUCAAGCCAUGGGAGCCGGGGGUGCCUGAAGUCCGUGACCGCAAGGGGCGGCCUAGGGUAAAACCGGUGACUGGGGCUAAGUCGUAACAAGG
rnacentral:rRNA from 1 species